rnacentral:rRNA from 1 species
AUUGAACGCUGGCGGCAGGCCUAACACAUGCAAGUCGAACGAGUGGCGGACGGGUGAGUAAUGUAUGGGCAACUGACUGAUGGAGGAGGAUAACUACUGAAAACGGUAACUAAUACCGCAUACUAUCGGCUAUGGCGAAAUGGGUUUGGCUAGUAGGUGGGGUAAAGGCCAACCGAGGCGACGAUCCCUAGCUGGUCUGAGAGGAGGACCAGCCACACGGGAACUGAGACACGGUCCAGACUCCUACGGGAGGCAGCAGUGGGGAAUAUUGCACAAUGGGCGCAAGCCUGAUGCAGCCAUGCCGCGUGUAUGAAGAAGGUCUUCGGGUUGUAAAGUACUUUCAGCGGGGAGGCGUUACCCGCAGAAUAAGCACCGGCUAACUCCGUGCCAGCAGCCGCGGUAAUUC